AACGAACGCUGGCGGCAGGCUUAACACAUGCAAGUCGAACGCCCCGCAAGGGGAGUGGCAGACGGGUGAGUAACACGUGGGAACGUGCCCUAAGGUUUGGAAUAUUCCCGGGAAACUGGGAGCAAUACCAAAUGUGACCGCAAGGUGAAAGAUUUAUCGCCUUAGGAUCGGCCCGCGUCGGAUUAGCUAGUUGGUGGGGUAAAAGCCUACCAAGGCGACGAUCCGUAGCUGGUCUGAGAGGACGACCAGCCACACUGGGACUGAGACACGGCCCAGACUCCUACGGAGGCAGCAGUGGGGAAUCUUGGACAAUGGGCGCAAGCCUGAUCCAGCCAUGCCGCGUGAGUGAUGAAGGCCUUAGGGUUGUAAAACUCUUUCGCCGAGGACGAUAAUGACGGUACUCGGAGAAGAAGCUCCGGCUAACUUCGUGCCAGCAGCCGCGGUAAG
rnacentral:rRNA from 1 species